GUUGUAUAUGCAUUGUUCAUCUCGGAGAACUUCUUGAGUGCCUUUUGAUGUACGUCUUUCCAACUGCUUCAGAGAAACUCAACUAUUCGAGUCCUGAUGAAGGAUCUGUAAAGAUCCGAAACGUCGACUAAGAAUAAAUGUAGUAUUCAGAA